rnacentral:rRNA from 1 species
ACCGCGACCCCAGGUCAGACGGGACUACCCGCUGAGUUUAAGCAUACAUAGCGC